rnacentral:rRNA from 1 species
CGCACGGGUGAGUAACACGUAUCCAACCUGCCGUCUACUCUUGGACAGCCUUCUGAAAGGAAGAUUAAUACAAGAUGGCAUCAUGAGUUCACAUGUUCACAUGAUUAAAGGUAUUCCGGUAGACGAUGGGGAUGCGUUCCAUUAGAUGGUAGGCGGGGUAACGGCCCACCUAGUCUUCGAUGGAUAGGGGUUCUGAGAGGAAGGUCCCCCACAUUGGAACUGAGACACGGUCCAA